UGAAUGCAAACGCUAUCUGACACAAAUGGUGGUGUUAUCUGAAAAAAAUAAGUUUUACCACAAGUGGUUGGCAGCACUAAUGACAUAAUUUUUUAACUGUCCGACCGACCGGAUACAACCUCCCACUUUAUAAUUGAUAAUAUAAAAUUACUUAUUUACUUUUCAUCAACAUUUUAAUGAGCAUUAAUUUUUUUACGUGCCCCACACCAAGAUUAAACGGUCACACAACGAUUGGCAAGAAUAUUUACUAUUAAUAAAAAUCUGGCAUAUUUUUGUUGCGUGUCCGUCCUGGAGAUUGUAAUUAACUGUCAACUCUAUACACUUAAUGAUAAUAAAUACGAUACAACACGUCAUUUAGACUCAUCCAUCAUUUUAUUUCAUUUUGUUUCGUGUGUGUGGGUGUGGGUGGGUUUUCCAGAGAGUGGUUUUAGUUUUAGUCGUGAAAAUCAGAUAUCAAUGUCACUCCUAUGGAAAGGUUUUUGCAACAUCCUUGUAACGGUGGCUAUUCUGGUCGGCUUCAUAUUUACUCUCAACUCCAAUCACGAUUUCGCCAGUACAAAGGACGACGACGGUCAAAGAUGCAGCAAUAGCACGGGUACGAGUGGCAGGAAGAAAUUAAAACAUAGACGAGCUUCACAACACACGUUUAAAGCAACAAAGGUGAUUUCAAAACCAGGGUUGGAGGAACAGGAAUCGAUCAUUUGAAGGUUGUCCGAAAUCGAAUGUAAAGUAAAAUACACUCUCCACAAAGAGAGCCGGUCAGCCGUCGGAUCCGAAGCUUUUGAGACAAAAUGUGAAUAAUAAUCACUUUAUCGUCAUCAUGUUACCGAUUUUAGUAUUUGUCUCAGUUCUGCUUAUUUCAACAUUUUUAUUCACUGCGUACUUAAUGUUGCCUGUUAUUUAAGUAAAUAAAACAUAAUAAAUAAAUACCUAAAAUUA